AUACGGAAGGUCCGGGCGUUAUCCGGAUUUAUUGGGUUUAAAGGGAGCGCAGGCGGAGAUGCAAGCGUGACGUCAAAUUUCGGGGCUCAACCCCGUCUCGCGUCGCGAACUGCGUCCCUUGGUUGCGGGAAGGGGAGGCGGAACUCGUGGUGUAGCGGUGAAAUGCAUAGAUAUCACGAAGAACUCCGAUCGCGAAGGCAGCCUUCCGGCCCGUCAACGACGCUCAUGCUCGAAGGUGCGGGUAUCAAACAGGAUUAGAUACCCUGGUAGUCCGCACAGUAAACGAUGGACACCCGCGAUUUGGCCUAUAUGGCUGAGCCGCCAAGCGAAAGCGUUAAGUGUCCCACCUGGGGAGUACGCCGGCAACGGUGAAACUCAAAUGAAUUGACGGGG
rnacentral:rRNA from 1 species